AGGACGAACGCUGGCGGCGUGCUUAACACAUGCAAGUCGAGCGGUGAUCCUCCUUCGGGAGGUGAUCAGCGGCGAACGGGUGAGUAACACGUGGGCAACCUGCCCCUCACACUGGGAUAAACCUCGGGAAACCGGGGCUAAUACCGGAUACGACCUCGAGCGGCAUCUCUUGAGGUGGAAAGCUCCGACGGUGAGGGAUGGGCCCGCGGCCUAUCAGCUUGUUGGUGGGGUAAUGGCCUACCAAGGCGACGACGGGU
rnacentral:rRNA from 1 species